rnacentral:rRNA from 1 species
ACUCCUACGGGAGGCAGCAGUAGGGAAUCUUCGGCAAUGGGCGAAAGCCUGACCGAGCAACGCCGCGUGAAUGAUGAAGGCCUUCGGGUUGUAAAAUUCUGUUAUAAGGGAAGAACGGCUUUAGUAGGAAAUGGCUAGAGUGUGACGGUACCUUAUGAGAAAGCCACGGCUAACUACGUGCCAGCAGCCGCGGUAAUACA